AGGAGACAGAAGUGGCGGGGGCAGUGGCAGCCUCCUGGGCUCUACCUGCCCCCACCCCUCUGCCUUUUGUCACCUCUCCCUUCUGUCACCCUCACUGUCAUGGGCAGUGCUUACCACUGGGAGGCCCGUCGGCGGCAGAUGGCUUUGGACCGGAAGAGGUGGCUGAUGGCCCAGCAGCAGCAGCAAGAGCAGGAACUGAAGAAACGCCAAGAAGAGGAACGGCAAUGUGAGGAGAAAACCCAGCCACCUCAGGAGUCCCAGCAGGAGUCGCAGCCACCCCUGGCGCAAUCACAGUUGCCACCUAUGCCACAGCCGCCGCAGGUGCCCCAGCAGCCACCACAGCCGCCUCAGCUAAAGCAGCCAAAUGCCCAAGAAUGUCUUACUCAGUGCACCUCCAAGUACAUCCUCCAGGAUUCCCAGAGGCCAGGUCCCCACAAGGACACAUACCAAAGAGAGGUGACCAACCCUCAUGGUCCUGGUGGCAAGAAAUCUAGCCCAGAUAUGCAAACCAAGUACUCACGAUUCACGGUGAGACAGAUUCAAAGUGUGAAAGCCAGAUAGCUUCUGGCUGUGUGUCUGAGUGUGGUUGAGUGUAAGUGUGGGGGAGUCUAGAAAGGCUUCCUUGGCAGGAGUUGGGAGAGGGGAUUGAAGCUGUUCAGUCAUUUCUGGAUGGCCCAUUCCUCCAUUCCUUGGCCCAUAAGAAUGUCUUGGUAGGCCCCAUUGCUCAGCACUAAGUGAAGGAGCUGACAGUCUAGUUAGGAAGGCUGGACAGGUACAAAGAAGCAAAAUCUAGGGGCUGAUUAGGGUAGAGCCAGCUAGGCAGGAGGGAGGUAAGACCUGAAGUAAGA
ensembl:lncRNA